rnacentral:misc_RNA from 1 species
CGCACAUUGCGCCUGCUGGUAUUCCGGUAGGCAUGCCUGUUCGAGCGUCAGCAAAACCUCUCAGCAGAAAUUUAUUUUUGUUGGUUAUGGGCCGCGGAGGAAUGGCUAUUGCAGCCGCUCCCGCCUUAAACUUGCUGCACGACCGCAAGCUUAUGCUAGGUUAAUGGAGUGGUGUUUACAUUAAAUUCCAGCAAUUCUUUCAUAGCUUGGUGGCGUUAAACCUGAUAGUUGCCUCACCGCAACCGAAGUUUUGACCUCGGAUCAGACAAGGAUACCCGCUGAACUUAA